rnacentral:rRNA from 1 species
GAUGAACGCUGGCGGCGUGCCUAAUACAUGCGAGUCGAGCGAACAGACGAGGAGCCUGCUCCUCUGACGUUAGCGGCGGACGGGUGAGUAACACGUGGAUAACCUACCUAUAAGACUGGGAUAACUUCGGGAAACCGGAGCUAAUACCGGAUAAUAUAUUGAACCGCAUGGUUCAAUAGUGAAAGACGGUUUUGCUGUCACUUAUAGAUGGAUCCGCGCCGCAUUAGCUAGUUGGUAAGGUAACGGCUUACCAAGGCAACGAUGCGUAGCCGACCUGAGAGGGUGAUCGGCCACACUGGAACUGAGACACGGUCCAGACUCCUACGGGAGGCAGCAGUAGGGAAUCUUCCGCAAUGGGCGAAAGCCUGACGGAGCAACGCCGCGUGAGUGAUGAAGGUCUUCGGAUCGUAAAACUCUGUUAUUAGGGAAGAACAAAUGUGUAAGUAACUAUGCACGUCUUGACGGUACCUAAUCAGAAAGCCACGGCUAACUACGUG